rnacentral:rRNA from 1 species
UUUUGGGCAAUGGGCGAAAGCCUGACCCAGCAACGCCGCGUGAGGGAUGAAGGCCUUCGGGUCGUAAACCUCUGUCGGGAGGGACGAAAGGUAGACGGGUGAACAACCCGGGUGCUUGACGGUACCUCCAAAGGAAGCGCCGGCUAACUCCGUGCCAGCAGCCGCGGUAAUACGGAGGGUGCGAGCGUUGUCCGGAAUCACUGGGCGUAAAGGGCGCGUAGGUGGCCGAGCAAGGUCGCGGUGAAAGCCCGGGGCUCAACCCCGGGUCGGCCGUGGCAACUACUUGGCUUGAGCACUGUAGGGGCGGAUGGAAUUCCGGGUGUAGCGGUGGAAUGCGUAGAGAUCCGGAAGAACACCGGUGGCGAAGGCGGCCCGCUGGGCAGGAAGGCUCGCAAGAGCCGGCUGACACUGAGGCGCGACAGCGUGGGGAGCAAAC